UACGUAGGGUGCAAGCGUUAUCCGGAAUUAUUGGGCGUAAAGAGCUCGUAGGCAGUUUGUCGCGUCUGCUGUGAAAACUGGAGGCUCAACCUCCAGCCUGCAGUGGGUACGGGCAGACUAGAGUGCGGUAGGGGAGAUUGGAAUUCCUGGUGUAGCGGUGGAAUGCGCAGAUAUCAGGAGGAACACCGAUGGCGAAGGCAGAUCUCUGGGCCGUAACUGACGCUGAGGAGCGAAAGCAUGGGGAGCGAACAGG
rnacentral:rRNA from 1 species